rnacentral:rRNA from 1 species
ACUACGGGAGGCAGCAGUGGGGGAUAUUGCACAAUGGGGGAAACCCUGAUGCAGCGACGCCGCGUGUGGGAAGACGGUCCUCUGGAUUGUAAACCACUGUCCCCAGGGACGAAGAUGACGGUACCUGGGGAGGAAGCUCCGGCUAACUACGUGCCAGCAGCCGCGGUAAUACGUAGGGAGCGAGCGUUGUCCGGAAUUACUGGGUGUAAAGGGAGCGUAGGCGGGACUGCAAGUUGGGUGUCAAAUCUACCGGCUCAACCGGUAUCCGCACGCAAAACUGCAGUUCUUGAGUGAAGUAGAGGCAGGCGGAAUUCCUAGUGUAGCGGUGAAAUGCGUAGAUAUUAGGAGGAACACCAGUGGCGAAGGCGGCCUGCUGGGCUUUUACUGACGCUGAGGCUCGAAAGUGUGGGGAGCAAACAGGAUUAGAUACCCUAGUAGUC